UGCUCCGGUCCCUCGCCCGUCCCUCCCCGCCGCCCGGGUCCCGCUCUCCCCGCGCCGGAGGGACCCGCAUCCUCCCGGCUCCCUCCUCUCGGGUUGGAUUUACCCAGUGAUGUGUAAACUACAGGAUGCCCAGCAGCACUGGAAAGAGGUUUAAACCUACUAAAUACAUCCCUGUCUCCACAGCAGCUGCCUUAUUAGUGGGUUCGACUACUUUAUUUUUUGUUUUCACGUGCCCCUGGUUGACAAAAGCCAUCUCCCCAGCCAUCCCAGUGUACAAUGGGCUCGUGUUCUUGUUUGUACUGGCAAACUUCAGCAUGGCAACUUUCAUGGACCCUGGAGUUUUCCCACGAGCAGAUGAAGAUGAAGAUAAAGAUGAUGACUUCCGAGCUCCACUCUACAAGAAUGUGGAGAUUAAAGGAAUCCAAGUACGGAUGAAAUGGUGUGCCACCUGCCACUUCUACCGUCCUCCACGCUGCUCUCACUGCAGCGUCUGUGACAACUGUGUUGAGGAUUUUGACCAUCACUGCCCAUGGGUCAACAAUUGCAUAGGACGGAGGAACUACCGCUAUUUUUUUCUCUUCUUGCUGUCCUUAAGUACACACAUGGUUGGAGUAUUCACCUUUGGGCUCAUCUUUGUGCUAAACCAUAUGGAAAAGCUGGGAGCAGCUCAUACUACCAUUACAAUGGCUGUCAUGUGUGUGGCUGGGUUAUUCUUUAUUCCAGUUAUUGGUCUCACUGGCUUCCACAUCGUUCUAGUGGCCCGAGGGCGCACAACAAAUGAACAGGUGACAGGUAAAUUCCGUGGAGGAGUGAAUCCUUUUACCCGAGGAUGCUGCGGUAAUGUGGAACAUGUGCUCUGCAGCCCCUUGGCUCCCAGGUACAUAGUUGAGCCCAAGAAAAAGCAAGCUGUGAGUGUGAAGCCUCCUUUCCUCAGACCUGAUUUAUCUGAGCGACAGAUCACAGUGAAGAUCAGUGACAAUGGGAUCCAAGCCAACCUCAACCGGAGCAAGUCUAAAAUUAGCCUGGAAGGCCUGGAGGACAAAAGUAUGGAUGUGCAACCACCUCUUCCACCAAAAGGAGAUCCAAGCAAGUACUCUGAGCUAAAAGGGCAGCUGGGGACCAGUGAAGAAGGUGGCCUUUCACCCAAACUUAUUAGCCCUCCUACACCUGCCAUGUACAAGUAUCGACCAGCGUUCAGCAACAAUCCCAAAGUCCACUACCAUGCUACAGCUGACCAGAUCACCAUGCAGGAGGGACACACUCAAGGGGCUCUGAUAGAAGAGGAUGGCAGGAGCCUUGAUUACCAGUCUGAACCCAGCUUGGACAUCCCCAGCUACCGGAAGAGCUCCCUCCACAAGACCUAUCAGUCUUCCCCACUGCAGAUAGAUUCCUUUGCCAUCAAUUCACGAUCCCUGAGCCUGAAAUCUGCUGGCAGGAGAGGGACAGACAAAGUGCCCCUUCAUCCAAUGAAGUCUGAAGGGGCAGCCUCCACCCCUUACAAAAGCAUCUUUUCUCCCAAUUCCCUGUCAAACAGAAAUGGGAGUCUUUCAUAUGACAGUUUGCUAAACCCCAUGUCACCCUCGGGGAGGAAGUGCAUCGCCCAUUCUGCAGUCAGCUCUGUUGGGUACCACUCCCCAUAUUUAUCAGCCAAAAUGUGCCAUCUACGGGGGAGCGAGCUGCAACGGCAACCACCGCAGAGCUUCAGCCCAGUGCUGGGGGGUCCAGCUCCACAUCAGCGAGACCCCUCCCCAGUCCGCUAUGAUAACCUUUCCAAAACCAUUAUGGCAUCCAUCCAGGAGAGGAAGGAGAUGGAAGAGAGGGAGAAGCUCCUCCACUCGCACCCUGAUUCAGUGUUUGCAGAUUCAGGUGUCUAUGACACCCCUAGCUCCUACAGCCUUCAGCAAGUCAGCACGCUCUCUGAAGACCCACGCAGCAUGGCAAUGAGAUACGGAUCUAGAGACAAUCUGAUGGCUGCUACCAGUUUUAGCACAAGGAACCCUAUACUGCAGUCCUCAGUGUCUUCACUCUCAAGUGCAAUGACGAGAGCACCAAGGACUUCCACAACCUCUCUGCAAGCUGAUUUAGCCAAUAAUAAUGUCCAGUCCCAUCAGUCACUACAGGGCAGGGUGAGCAAUGGCUCCUACAAAUCCCCAGGCCACCAGGUCCCAUCGUCCCCCACAGGGAUGCCUAGGUCACCCUCUUAUGGAGGCCCAAAGGCUGUCUCAUUUGUAAACACUGUGGAAAUUACAGAGGUGCAAUCAGUGGGAGCACAAAGGGAUGACAUGCAGUUGAAGACACCUCACAGUAAAAUAAAUGGACAGCCAAAAGGAAUAUCCAGGUUGGGUUCAACAUCAAGUUCCCAGGGGACACCUGUCAGCCCUGCUAGACACUCAAGUGUUAAGAAGGUGUCUGGAGUUGGUGGAACAACCUAUGAAAUUUCAGUGUAAAAUACAAUUAAUUAAAAAUAAAGAGCCAUCCACUCAGCCAGCCAUGAAGCUAGGAGCACUGUGAAGACUCAAAUAACAACAAAGAAGGAGCAGCAGCAGCCGGCCACUCUCCUUUUCUUGUUUGGGUUUGUUCUGUUUUCAUCUUUUGGCCAAAAACCAGCUGCAGCCUUAUUCUUAAGGGAAUAAAAUUGUACAGUCCAUCAGACUCUUCCUGAAGCAACAGGCAGGAACUGGCUAUGACCUAACACCAUAACCACAGAGCGGAUUUCUUUCAUGCAAGAGAGCGCUAAAGCCAUUGUGCGUGUGUCUGUCCAACAAACCUGUUUUGUACCAGUUGUGCUGUGAAAAAGUAUGGUCAGUCCAGGAUCAUUUAGUUUUUCCCCUUCCCAGUUCUUCUGUCCAGCAAUGUGUCCGGCAGGAGUCAGAGGCCUGGCUGCUGUUUUCCUACCGACAUGGAAAGCGGGCUUCCUGUGCUGGGCAGUCUGCGUGUGUGAGAACUGCUCUGUGUCCCCCGGGUGUUGCAGGUUGGGUUCCUCCUCCUGGGAAGGAGCAAGGCAAGGGCACUUGGGCUGCGAAUGCCGCGGCAUCUUUAAAAGCCUCCCUGCUCCCUGGUCCUGGAUGGGAGCAGGAGAAAGGAUAGCAACAGCUUCUCACUGUCUGCCAUUUGCCUCCCUGUGUGUGAAAUUGUGUGUGUGCGUGUGCGCGUGUUUGUCUCUCAUGGAAAAGGACCACAACACCAGUAAGGAUCUUCCACUCCGACCUCUUGCUCCAUCUGGUUUUUAAAGGCUUCUCUGACUCGGAAACAAAACCAAGCAGAUAAGAAAAGAGAUGUUUGGAUGGGAACAUAUUUUAAACAGCCAUCAGCUGCUUUCCUUGCACCCUCCUUACCUGUUGGAUUUAGGCAAUAACAUGGUUUACUGCCUUGUCCUGGUGCCAUCUGUGUAAUCCUGCAGCAAGGUUAUCAUGAUCUGUUGAAUUUACAGUGUGUGUAACUGAGCCAAGCAUACAUCUAAAGGAUAUAAAUUUUCUGUCUGCCUAAUUACUAGCACAUUCCCUCUGGUCUUCAAUACUGUUAGACAAAGGAUUUUCCAUUUGGGGUUUUUUCCCCUAGGGAGCAACUUUUUAAAAUAGUAUCAAUCAAAUCUACUCAACACUCUGAGGUUUCUUUUUCCUGUCUCCAGAAAACUACAUUUACUUUGUUGGACUUAAAGACAGCUUUACCAUAAAAAACAAGAAAGGGGGGGUGCAUUACUUUUGUCACAAAUAUGAGAACUCUGGCAAAGCUAAUCUGGGGACAAAUGGAAUGGGUUUUUUUCUCCAUUCCAUAAGGAUUCUUUUCCUUCCCACGCAGUUACCACCUCAGAAGUCAAAAGUACUGAGAUCUGGACCAAUGCUAACUAGCCAGAUCAUGUGUGCUGUUAAGAAUAUCCUGAGAAAUUGUUGCCAAAGUCACUAAAAAUGAUUAUUUAUCACUGAGCCAGUCAGCAUACAAAACCUCGGCUUCCCACCUGGUUUUCCUGGUGAAUAGUUUUGACUAGAGAACUAAAUUAAUCACUUUUCAGGAUAUUUGUUUCAAGAGAUUGAAUCCUUUUCAGUCUUUGACUAUAAUGGAGAGCUCUCCAGAUAUUUAGUAGCAAUUCAUAAUGUGUUGAUAGCAUCUUACUUAUUUUCAUGUAUGUUGAUAUUAAUUAUUCUGGAAGGCAAAUAUUGACCUCAGUUUUGCCUGGUUAAAAUUUAUCUUUUGAUUUGGUAGAUCUUAACAUCUGCUGCAAUACAUGCUUAUUGUGUCCCUUGUAUAUCACAGAAUUUUUUGGAGAGAAAGGUUGAAGAGAACAUAAGAAAGUUAAUCAUCUCUCUGUGUAAUGCUCAGUGUCGCCUGAAGGGAGAAACCUGGAAAGCAAUGCAGCUGCAAUAGGCCAGAGUUAUGAGAGAGUGAACUAGAAAUCAGUGUGUAUUUUAUCACCUUGGUGGUAUCUUAAAUGCCUACUGUAGGGACAUCACAGAGCAGAGAAACACUAGUCUUUCUAUGCGAUUUGCUCACUGGCAUGUAGAAUAUUGUCCUUAGUUGGAGGCACCAUGGUACUAGAAAGGUACUGACAAACUGGAUCAGGUACAGAUGGAGCAAUAUAUAUUGAAAGACUGGACAGGUUGGCUGAUGAAAAGAUUUAAAGGGCUAAAACCAUGACACUGGCUAAGCAAUGAAGUGGAAAUUGAGUAUCAUGACUUUAAAAAUACUUUACUUUAAAGAUGUAAAACCAAAGGUAAAUCAAAAGGUUGUCACUGAUAACCAAUGGUCUGCAUUUAGAAGGGGGCAGAAAAGAUGGAGGGGAAGGGGCAGUGGAAUAGUCUUCCAAGGCAGAGUAUUGGAGACUGUUUAGAACAGCCAGACUAUAUUUGGACAAGUCAUUAAAAAAAAAAAUUCUGUAAGAGGUGAGCCUGCAGGGGCAAGGGGCUAGACCAGAUGGCCUUACAGAUUUCUUCCAUCUUUAACUGUUAUUAACCUGCAACUCUACCCUGACGUUAACUCCUCAGGAAGAUGCAGUACUUCCUCAAGGACUGGAAUUCACUCUGGUGCAUAGAGUAUCACAAGAUUUACUUGUUUUUAAAGUAUCAUGUAUGCCAUAUGUAAGCCCUGAAAAAGAUGGAACACGUGAUACACUGAAUUUGGGCUAGGGAGCGAGACAAGGGCACAUUUUGUCAUGUCUUUGAAUACGUACAUGAAAUUCAUGCAAGCAAGGCUGAAAAUUUGCACCAGUGUAAUAGCUGAGAUUUGCAUCCCAGUGGUGCUCCACUUUGAUUGUUCUUUUUCCUGCAUUUAUAAACAAAAAAGCAACUGAGGAACUUGAAGGGCCAAAGAGCCUUUGAAGUUAACUACAUUAGUUCAUGAGAGAAUUUCUCAGUAAGACUAAACACAGUAUUGUGUGUAUAAAGCACUAAUAUCCAGGGUUAUUUUGACAUAGUUCACAAGGGGUAAGGGAGGAAGGAAUGAAUGCAUUGUGUCAUUACAGGUUCAUAUAUAAGGAUUAUGUAUUUUGUGAGUAGUUUUGCCCACAGUUGAGAGAUGUUUGACUUGUUAAUAGGUUUACAAUGGUACCAAAGUUGUGUGGGGGUUUUUUUUUUUUCCUUUUGAGGUUUGCAUAUAAUUCAGUGCACGUAGCCUGGAGUAAAUUAUUCAAAUCUUCUGAAAGAAUAAUCUAAGCAGAACUGUUAGCCGGAGAUUGCAUGCAGCAAGUCCAGCCUCAUUUCCAUCCAAGGCACUGAACGCGCAGCUAUUUUCUCAUAAAUGUUUUAUUCUGCAGGACAAGUUUCAGUUCACAUUUUGGAACAUAGUAAGGAGAGACAAAGGAAACUAUUUAUCCAGGGAUGCAAUAAUGACUCUAGGUAGAUAUGGAACAGGGAAUUCUGCAGAGCUUCAGACAGUGGAUCUUAUCUAGAGAGAGAAGAGUGACUUCUGUGGAAGAGACUCUCAUCUUCUGACUGUAAGGAAGAUUAUUCAUGUUUCCUUUCCCUUACAAAUUAUUUCAUGCUGUAUUGCCAUCCUGUUCACCUUUUACACAUGCAUCCCUUGUGUGGAUUUUUCAGACAGUAAUUUUGCCAUUUAUUAGCAAGGAACUUAAAGCACUAACAUAGCCUAUCCAUAUGGCAUUAGAUGUGGAAUAUAUCUGGCCUGAGAUGGACAGCAUACAAGGCUAUGUGAGCACUGUGGGCAAUGCUGAGUUUUACCAAUAUUUCUAGACUGCGUUAAGAUAUUCUGUCUAUCAACUCUAUGAUAUUCUGUCUAUUGACUCUGUCUAUCUAACUAUGUUAAUCAAAGUAAUUUCUGCAUUUGGGGGCAUAGGCCAGUUUGAUCAGAUUAUAUGGCAGAAGCGCACAGCAUAAUUUAUGCGGCAGAUUCUGCCAGUUCAUGAGCUUUUCUAGUUUAGUUACAUUUUACAAUAAUAGGGGUACCACAGUUAAGUCUUGUAUUUUAAAAAAUAUCCCUUUUCUGAAAUAAGACAGUUUUACAAAUACAAGUAAUUCAAAAAACCUUUUCAGCAGACUUUGUAAAGCAUCUGCCAUGUAAAAACCAUGGGGACCAUAUACUACCUCCUGAAGUUUAUUUCACACCUUUAAACUCCUAACCUCCAUGCAGGGCUUGUACUAUCCAUCUGUUUCUGCAAGAUGGAGUAAGAACAGGGUUUUCAAGGAUGUAUUUGAACAUUGUCUGCAUGUGUGAAAACCUCCCACUAAACUCAGUGGUAACUGAAAGAAAUGAUGGGGAGGAUAUGUCUGAAUAACUGGAGGGAGAGCAAUGUCUGGAACACUUUAAGGGAAAAAGUAGCCUUCCAUACUAAUUAAGAAUUGUUGUUUAGUUAGCACUGUUGUUUUGGAGCCAAAGCAUGCCCAUGAGUUUGGGUUCAAUAAAACAUGUCAUCACACACAGUCAGCAACGAGGACUCAGUGUAGGGCUUUCAACACCAAAAUCACAAACCUUGAAUACUUGAGAUGCACACCUAAAAUGAGAAUUCCUGUUUUCAGAGUGGCACAACAACACAUUAAGCUCAUGAAUGGUAGUUUUUCCUUUAAUGAUGCUUUGUUAGACUUAACAUGCCAUUGGGAGCGGCACCCACAGGAAUUAGCUCACUGCUAUAGUUCAUUGACAUUAGGACUUCAAGCCUCUAACCUGGAGCAAAUCAAGUACUUGUAAUCUUUUUUCCCACAACAGGGAACAAAGGGGAAAGUGGAAUUUCAUGAGCACAUCCCAUUUUUGGGCCAACUCUAUUUCUAAUGAAGCUUCUGUCUCUACUACAGAGAACUUACAUAAAUGGUCUUCAUGUGGCAGGCAGCAAGAGGGAAUUUGGGUUUAUUAGUGAAGCAGCAACGUGGUGCUCUUCUGCCCUCUGGCUUGUCCUUGCACACGGUGUGCAGGUAAGUGGCUCCUGGGCAGUGGUUUCUUACUGCAUUCACUGCUUCAGUGGAUAUGAGUUGGAUGGCUCCUGUGUGUGCCAGUUGCAAAGCACACCUCCCUGCCAUGGAGCAUACGUGUUGAAAGCCUCUUUCAGUUCCGUAGGUGCAGAACACGUGGGGAUCUUUGGAUCAGGGAUGACUGUGGAAGCUCAUAAAAUGGCAUUAUAGUCUGGUUCUAGUCCUGGGCGCAGGUGGUUUAGCACAAUACAGCUUUACUGUCAGCUUUCUCUCUUGUACAGUCAUUUGAACAGAUGGUGGAAGGGUUUUUGUUGUUUGUUUGUUUGUUUUUUUAAUAAAUACAAACCAAUGCUACUUUUUCAUGGAAAAAACUCACCUUGUAGAAACUGCAGAGUCUCAGUAAAUUCAGUAACAGCAUGAUCCUGUUUUUGCAGCCUGAAUGUUAUGAAUCCAUCUGGCCUUGGGAUCAGCCCUUGUUGUCUCAUUGGCAGGUAUCUACAAUAACAGACUUAAAAACAGAGAAGUAAGUAGUUAGGUGGUACUUGGUCAUGACUAAUUUUUCAGACCCACUAAUAAUACAGACAAACUGCUCUGUUGUUGGCCACAAUCUUCUCUAUCAAAAUGCACAUGCUUUGCACUGCUAUCUUGCUGGCAGUUUCCCAGUGUUAGUCAGUAAGAGAUGUACCAGUUAGAUGUUCAGCUGGAAACCCGGUCUACACUUCAGGCACAGGAAUGGGCUCCAGGCAUUCUGGCAGCAGUUCCUGGCUCCAUACAAAUUACUGAUGACUUGUACGUCUUCCCAUGCCUCUUCACUCCAUGUAAGAUGGGGAUGCAACUUCCUGACCUCACAGAUGUGUUGUGUUUGUGAGAGGCUUGAACCCUAUCAUUCUGCAAUCAGCUGUGUAGCUGGAGCCAAGCAGAUGCAUCCCAUAGGUAUCCAGGAUCAGUGGGGCAGAUUUAGGGCAUAUUUAACUUCAAAUGAAAGCACCACUCCAGGUCACAUUCUUGCGGAGAAGUUUUUUGGGUGUUUGUGUGAUGGGUGUUGCUGACAGUAGUCUUGGUCUUACACACUGACUUUGGAAAGCUGUUUUAGUAAAUACAUGAAAGACAUUUCUGCCUUGAUCAUUCCCUUGACAUCCUGCAUACUUCCUUAUAAUCCAAACCCUCUGCAUAAUACCCGUACAGCACAAUCCUCAUUCCAAGAGACCAUAUGCUUCAUUGCCUUAAGCAACUCCACUGUUCCCUGCCUGCUUAUUGGAAUAGUUGUGCAUAUAUAUAAUAGUAACUAAAAUUACUGAGCAGAAAUACAGUAAAAUAAAUAGCUGUAGGUUGGGAGUGACCUCCAAAAGGGGGGACACUGCAAUGUGCUGUUGUGGCAGAGAACACAGCGAGAGCUGAGUUUUGCAGCCAUUGACUUGUUGUGGGCUGCUGAAGAAAUACAGCCUUUUACAUUUUUUCUUAAGAGCAAGGACUAAUGGUGCUACGUUGCCAUGAGAAAACUGUUAGUAAUUCCUGUCUUUUUUGUGUCUGUUUUAAUGUUUUGCAGAAAUAUGUGUCUAUCUACAAUAGUGUAUUCAUAGUACAUGAAGAUUAUCAAAGAAGGAAUAAUGUUGUCUAUUAGUGCACAAAAUAAUUUCUUUGCUAGUAUGGUCUUUUACUCACUACUGCCUUUCUAAUAAAGGGGCAGGAAAGAGUUAGAAAUUAAUAAUCACUGGGAUUUUUAUCACAGGCAAGCACAUUCUGCUUUAAGGGAUAGGAAGAUUAGAUGUGUCCAUGUGUAAACAGAGGUUGCGUGAGUUUGUUUAACUGUAAAGGCAAAAUAAAUCUAUUUUUACCACCUAUAUUGAAGCACAGAAUAGAUAAUUUUUUCAAAACCUGUAAAACCUUCAUAAGAAAAUAUACCAUAGUAAUUCAGUGUACUUCUCCCACAUUUUUUACAGAAUUUAUAAUAUUCUUUAUGAGCAUUUUAAUUUACUUUUGAAAAUAUUUUUUUCUUUAAUUAUAUCUACACAAAUUCUAGAGAUAUCUAUACAGACGAUCUUCAUAUACAUCUAAAGCCCUGGAUGCUGCAGAACUGCAUUUCAGCACUGUGUCACAAAUGAUGGAGAGAGUCCUUUUUGGGUACAAGAGACUUGGCGUGCACUGUCCUUGGUUUUGGUUUAUUUUUAUUUAUACCCACAGAGAUUGAUCAGCAGAAGGAAUCUGAGCACCCUGCUGUUGGAUGGAGUCAUAACACAACCUGUGCACCCAGAAAUGCUUUGCCUGCCUCAGGCAGAGACCAGUGAAGUGUCUUUCUAGGUACAGUGUGUCUGUGCUCCUUCCUAGCUUAAACAUUGCAGUUUUAAGCAGAGAGCUCUUCUGUGGUCUUCUCUUGGGCAAUCAGGAUGUGUUACCUGCCACCCAGUCAGGGUGAGGCACAGACCUGGGAAGCAGUGACACGGUUUCUGUUUCCAGCUGUGUCACUGACUUACUGUGUGCCAUUCCCAAGGUCACAGUGUCACACUUGGUAGAUGGUAUUCCAGUAUGACACAGAAGUUGAGAUCCUCUGGAUUUAAAUUGCUAAGUGACUUCCAGCGUUGAGUCAUGUGGCUGUUCCUUGGCACCAGAUCUGAAAUCUGUUGGCAAUAGGGCAUUGCUUAGUAGAGGCUAUAUGAUGACCAUAUGGACACCAUGCCUUGUGGCAGAGGUGUGGGACUUCAGAGGGCAUUCUUACAGUCCCUAGCUCAAGACAAAGAGGAAACCGAGGUAGUGAAAAAGGGAAAAGAAGUAUCUUUGGCUGACAUGAAAGGGAAUAGGCAGUGUCAAAAGACAGGAAGGGGCAGCUGGGUUUAUUGCUGGCAAGAAAAAUUUCCUCCUGUUUCUAUCAGCAUGAAGGAUUGAUUGGCUGGGGCAGGCAGCAUGCUGUUAAGUACAUAGAAGAUCUCUUCUUCCUGCCUUAGAUGGAUUUCUGUCAUUAUUUUGCAGAAAGACAGAAGGUUGUAAUGUAGGCAGGGCUACAUAAGGCAGAGUAAUAACAUAAAUCUUCAUAGCCUUGGCUGGGUACUGAAAGCAGGCUGGCAGGGGAAAGUUCAGAUGGGUCUCUGUCUCCACAAGAUAACCACUAGGUUUUGGUAAUUCCACAUUCCUCUGCACUUAUCUUGGAGGGACACUUCUAGUAUAAAAUGUAUUUUUUAAUUUUAGGCAGCAACCAGUCUUUCAAUGCCAUGUGUCUGUCAAAUGCACUGUAAAAAAGCCACAGUGAAGUAUUGUAAAUGUAAUCCCCCUCCCCAAGUUGUUGAAGUUAGCAAGAAGAAAACAUCUGUAAUUUUUUUUUCCAGGCCAGUUUACCGUUCAAAGUUAUGUUUUAUAUGACAUAUUAAAUUAAUUACAAAACAUAAAUUCAAUCUGGAGCAGCAGUAAAUUGCUUAUUACUUUUCAUUUUGCGGCUGUAAAAUGUUACAGAAGAUCUGAAACAGAUUCAAAAAACUUGUAUAAAAUGUAUACUGUGUAUUUCAGCUAUUGCUACAGCAAUGGCUGCUGAAUCUGGGUUUUGCUAGUAA